UAAGCCACACCGUACUCGGUAUAUUUCUCAUGCUCGAUUACUCCCUAAUUGCGGCAAGCAAAGAAACCCACAAUUUGUUUCAGGGAAGGUUGACAUUAACGGUGCCCUCUUUCACUUCCGGCAACCCAAGUUUCAUAAGUACCAGGUUGUAGAAAAAGCUCUCGCUACCGAAACUCAGGACCACCAACGAGUUCGGAUCUAGGUCCAAGUUUUGGUUCCUAUAGAAUUUUUGGGCAGAUAGUGAUGGAUAAAGAAUGGAUGCACAUCUAUAACAUGUUUUUAUAUAUAGUAGAUUGUGAAAUGAAAAAAAAAAAAAACCUAAGGCGCCCGACUCUAUAACAAGAGUUGAUGUAUGGAUUGAAGGUCACCUGAGGAAGAGUGGGGAACCUUUGAAUGAUGCAAUAGGACGAGCAGUGGUAGUAUAUCUUUCCUACUUAUUUUAUUAUUAUUUUUUUGUAUUCCAUUUACAAACAUACUUAACUCAUGGAAUUUCAUAAACAAAUGAAAGAGUACACUAAAACCCAACCCAAAGGCACAAGCUCUCUUCGAGAUGAUGGAGUCACUCAUGUACUUGGUUCAGAACAUUGAGGGCGGGUUAGAGGCCUUGGUUUUGGAGCAACAAUUUCUAAACUUGAGGCAAAUGGAUAUAAGAUGGUGCAAGCAAAAAGAGUGGAUGAAAUAUUUCAAGAAAGAGUGGAAUAAAUCAAAUCUGAAAUGAAGAGUGAGAUGAGAGCUGAGCUGAUGAAUGAGAUUUAAAGGUUACCAAUGUAAGCUGUUACACUAGAAUGGACAAGGUGUAGUUGGUGCCAAUGCUGAGAUUGCAUCAACGGAUCUGAAUGCGUUAUCAGAUGAUCAUGUUCCAAUUGGUCCAGAUUGUUGGAAAGUUUGGGCUGAUGAUGUCAUUGCCAGGGAUUGUCCUUUUUACCGAGCAACCCUAGCUGGAAGGUGUUGUCUUUGUGAUGCUCAACAAGCACAGUUGUAUGGCCUAGCAAAUAUGUGAAAAUUGUAGAGGAUCCGGUAUCUCCAAUUCGCUAGGAGAACUAUUAGAAUCUCAAUGAUUCUAGUCUAUACAACAUGACAACUUUGCCCUAGACUAAUUAUAGGUGAGGUGAAAUUUAUAAAUGAUAUAAUAUAUAUAUAUGCCAUCCAAUAUUGUGUAAUCUUUAAGGAUCUUCCAUUGAAUCAGAACUUAGUUAUACAUGUGCAAUUUGGAUAUGGACAAUAUCUGUGAUUUGAUAACUUUGUUAUGCAUGUGUAAUUAUUAAUUGCUCUUUUCAACCCCCUAAGAUCGGAUAAUCAUCUACUCUCACUACACUAAAAAGAAAUAUAUGUAGCUAUUUGUAUAUUUCGAUUGUGAAAAAAUAGGUAGUAGUUGAAGAAGGUAUCAAAAUUAUUCACGUCAAAGUUUACUUCAGUGUAUAAGAUCAGCAUGAGUUCUGCCUUUUUAUCUAGAAGUUUGUUGCUUUCUGCCAUAGUAACUUCAUGUUAUAUCUUCAUCCUGAAAAAAAAAAAAUUAAAGAAAUAUUGCAAAUGGGAUUUGCCUUUUUGUGUUUCUGCUUAAAUUUCAAAGUAGCAUUUCUUGUAUUGUUGCAAUCUACACUGCAGUGAGCUCUUCUUCUUGUACCAAUAUCUUCUCUAUCUAGUUAAGGCGUUCUCAUUUAUCUUUGUUUGAAUAUGUACUAUAAAUAUAGUUUUGCAAAUGAGUAGAGUCCAAUAGACAAUUACAUUAAUCAAAUGAAUGAGUUAAACUUUGAGAAAUCUACUUACGUGACCUAGCUGAUCGAUCAUAUGAUUAAUGUAAAUCCCAAUAAAGUGGCUUUAGAUAUGUAAUUAUACAUUUUAAUGACACUGAAAACAGUGAAUUCAUGAUCCCGUUUAGGGUUUGGUCUCGGUAUAUAUUAACAAAUUGGACAAGGAUUUUUAACUCUAUUUUCCCUUUCUAUAAGGUUAAUUAAUCAUCCCUUUAAUUAAAUGUUUGGUACUUGUAAAACUAGCCUAUCUUGAAGUGUUACAGAACCAUCAAGUGCUACAAAGGAAGAUUUGAAUUGAUGAUGGAGUCAGAGAACCAAAAGCAUGGGCUACCUUAUCACAGACUUUAGGCACCCAAGAUAGAAAAAACCAUCAAAUUAAAGUGUUGUUUUUGUAUGGAAUCAGUCUAUAAAUAGCCGCUGCCAGAUAAUGCAUCAAAUAUUAUUGUGUAUUUGGGUUUCUGCCUUCUCGUGUGGAUCAAUCUUUUUUUUUUAACCAAAUUUGUUUAUGGCUGUAUUUUGAGAAUACUAGUAGAAAGUCAGCAUUCAAUGGCUGAUGUCUUUGAGGAUAUUACUUAAAAUUAGUCUUCAGCACCAUAUGCAGGUACAUUGUGGAGGGUGUAUGUGCUUCAAUGACAGUAGCAUCCAAACCUAAGUGAAUGGUUCUUUCAAAGUGAUCUAUACUUUUGUGUGAUAAAAUUGCUUAAUAAUCUUUAAUCCUGCUUUGUUCUUUGACAUGAUAUAUAGUUGAUGGCAAAGAGUGGUACUCUAAAUCUUCAACAUCUAUAGGGAAAAUUACACCGACCUCUCUGAGGUUUCGUCAAUAUACACUAACUUCCCCUCUUGUUUGUCAAAUUACACCAACCUCCCCUGUUAUAGAUGUCAUGUGAAUGGUGUUAACUGUUCAAGUAAAAUUACAUAUAUGUCCUCAUUAUAUUUAUUGUAUUUUAUUUACGAAAGGAUGAACAUUGAAAAGACAAAAUUAUCCAUAUGUCAAAGAGAAACAAUUUGGAAUGAGAUAUAUAUAUAUAUAUAUAUAUAUAUAUAUAUAUAUAUAUUUGUUUGAUGAGAAACAAUUUGAGAGGAGAGAAAGAGAGAGACAGAGAGAGAGGAUAUAUUUGUUUGAUUUGGUGUAUAUAUAUUUUGGGUUUGAUUGGUGACGACAACGAGGGUAUAAGAAGGCAGAAACCCAGAUUUGGUGCUGAAACUCAAACACACCAAAUAAUUAAUUGGAUUAUUUAUAAUUGGAGGUUUGGUUGUAGUAGAUCUCUCCACCUUCCAUUUAUAAUUAAUCUAAUUGCAUUUGGUUACAAAAGAAGUCUAAAACCAAGACACUUAGAAAAUUUAUUUUUCCGUGGCGUUGAUAUUAGAUGAUUCUUAUACUUUACUCUACAUAAUAAGGAACACAUGAAAUGAAGUAACUCAAUGGUGAGUUUAAAAGAGAGAGAGA